CUUUGUGCAUGACACAAGUCAUUUUUCCAACAAUUGUUUACAAACAGAUUAUUUCACUUAUAAUUCACUGUAUCACAAUUCCAGUGGGUCAGAAGUUUACAUACACUAAGUUGACUGUGCCUUUAAACAGCUUGGAAAAUUCCAGAAAAUGAUGUCAUGGCGUAGAAGCUUCUGAUUAGCUAAUUGACAUAAUUUGAGUCAACUUGUGGAGUUGGUGUACUUGUGGAUGUAAUUCAAGGCCUACCUUCAAACUCAGUGCCUCUUUGUUUGACAUCAUGGGAAAAUUAAAAGAAUUCAGCCAAGACCUCAGAAAAACAAUUGUAGACCUCCACAAGUCUGGUUCAUCCUUGAGAGCAAUUUCCAAAUGUCUGAAGGUACCGUGUUCAUCUGUACAAACAAUAGUAGGCAAGUAUAAACACCAUGGGACCACGCAGCCAUCAUACUGCUCAGGAAGGAGAUGCUUUCUGUCUCCUAGAGAUGAACGUACUUUGGUGCGAAAAGUGCAAAUGAAUUCCAGAACAACAGCAAAGGACAUUGUGAAGAUGCUGGAGGAAACAGGUACAAAAGUAUCUAUAUCCACAGUAAAAACGAGUCCUGUGUCGACAUAACCUGAAAGGCCACUCAGCAAAGAAGAAGCCACUGCUCCAAAACCGCCAUAAAAAAGCCAGACUACGGUGUGCAACUGCACAUGGGGACAAAGAUUGUACUUUUUGGAGAAAUGUCCUCUGGUCUGAUGAAACAAAAUAGAACUGUUUGGCCAUAAUGACCAUCGUUAAUUGUACUUCAACUGUACUUACUCAUACUCUGGGUUAAGGUUAUAGCCAUUGUAGUCAUAGGCCACCUGUCCCUGAUCAUCGAUGUAAUACCCUGACUGGUAGAAGUCUUGUUCACAUUUCUGAAAGUCCCCCAUUGCUGUGGAGUAGGUGGAAAAGAUGAAGAUAAAGAUCAUUACUGUAACAGUAGAGUGAAGUAAGGGGCCCUUUUGAGGAGGGCUGCUCAGUUCCCACAUGUUAUAUCACGAAACGAGUUGCCAACCAAAUCACAAUUUUAUAAGCUACAAAUUAAAAUACAAAUAGAUGACCUAUUGCGCUUCAUUCUUUGGUCAAUAUAAUACUGACACUACAGCAGAAAAUACAUGCCAGAUAUUCAAACAGCAGGUUUCACUCAAACUGCUAAGGCCAGAUCAUAAUUAGUUACUGGGAUUGCCUUAUUGUUGAGUUCAGAUUUCAAACCUUGAGGUAAAUUCUGAGCAAGACCUCCUGUUAUGUUGUCAGGGGAGAGAUUUGAAAGAACAUUUGAAGGCUGUGUGGGGAUGUACAAAUGUAUAAAUUGUUUCCUCUAUUUGAGCUGGGGCUAUGAUAACCCCAGAGAAGUAGACUAAGUAGCCCACUUUCUAUCUAAUCUAUUUCUUAAUUUCCUAUUAUUUUUUCCCUUCCUUUUUCGAGGUUUAGUAAUAUGUCUUAUGGAAAUUAAGCCAGUUGCAGAAAUGCAAUGGUUUUGGAUACUGGGUGCUACUGAACAGAAUGAACAAUUUCCACUGUUUACAUGGCUCUUAUUUUGAAGGAUUUUCGAACAGCUUAAAUCAGAUGUCGCUGGCUCAACAUUCGUUAAGCCAGUCAUAUGAUUUCCCUGUGGGCAAAGCUGCUUACUUAAAAUAAAAAAUAUAUAAUAAUUUAAAAAAGGGGUAACAGUGGAUUAGCAUUCAUACAUUUACAAGGUAGUAAUACAUUUACAUUUUGUUCUACAUAUGAAAAACAACCAAGUCCAGCUAACUAGCUAGCUACCUUGCUAAACCUAGUAUCUGCUGGAGAUAAAUUAGCUGUCAACGAAAUAGCAAGGAAAGCUAGAAAGAGCACAAAAAAGACCUGCUGAUAUUCUCAACAUUUACAGACAUUCUUACCAUAAUUCAGUUCUCUUCUAGCAAUUGACGGUGGAAUAAAAGAUGUAAUAUUUCCACCAUGGCUGAUGUAAGUAUAAAUUAUUUGAACCCAAUCAAUGAUUACAUUCAUCUCUAGCUAGCUGAAGUCAUAGCCAGUUGCUACACCAGUGUAGUAGCUACCAGGGGCACAACUUUUACUGGGGGCACAACUCCCCCCCCACCACAUUCUGAAGUUGCAUUUAAAAAAGUGGCAACACUGGGGUAAAAAAGGGGUAAACCCCCCCAGUUUUUAUUGGAAUGUGAUACAAAAUGAGGCAACGGUGUGCUUUAGGAUGGCUCCGAGUGGUAGGGUAGGCUUUUUGGAGUGUUUAUGUGACAAAUUAAAAAUAACAACUAUGCCUCCCCCCACUUCUAAAACCAUAGUUGCACCCCUGGUAGCUACCUAUCUUGUCUCUAUCUUGACACAUUUUGUUGCAGGACUUGAAGAGAUACUUGUACAAACUGUUACCAAGGUAUGUUUGUUUGUUGUAUGAUUGUGUUCAUUGUGAUUCUGUUGCUGAAACCUAAUAUUGAACUUGGGAAUCCCUAAUGUGAAAAGUGAAUUUCAGUAGUUUGAAUUAUGACAAAGGAGUUAUGUCAUGUGCUGCUCUUUUUCUCCUUAUCCACCAGUUUUGAGGGUCUUCGUGCAAUCAUAGUGACAGAUAGGGAUGGUGUCCCAGUUAUUAAAGAUUGUGCAGUUUAACCGGUUACCAUUGGUGAUCAAUUUCAUCGCAAGCAGUAGUGCCAACGCAGCCAGUCAUCUGUGGAGCAGAAAGGAUCUCUGAGGAUAACAGGAGUGACAAGCUACCAGACUUAAGAGUGGAGGAUGCAGAUUAUUUGGAUGAUGACGUUUGGGAGCCACCCCUCCCCAGCUAGCGUCCCCGCUGGUCAAGGCUUCACCCUUCACUGCUAUGUCAAUCACCCCGUCUGAUGGUUCUACAUCAACUUUUCAUAGACCUCUUGAAAAAGAAAAUAGAGACUUGUGGCACCAUUCGUCCUAACAAAAUCAGUUUCCACAAGACCAAGGUAAACGACAUGACAAAGACAGCGGAGAGCGGGACCAUACGUUCUAUCAGGACUAACAAGCUGCUUUUUGUGAAACGGAAGGACACUAGGGAAGUAACCAUGCUCACACAGCAUAAGGCAUUCAAUAACAUCCAUGUCUCAAGGAGGGUGAAAAGGAAGAAUGUCUCUAUUCCUGUUUCUGUGAAGGACUACAAUGCCAGCAUGGGGGGUGUCGACCUAUCUGAUGCUCUGAUAGGCUACUUCCAGGCUACUUCCAGGUCCUCCAUAAGACAAGGAAGUGGUAUAAUACAUUGUUUUUACCACUUUGUGGACAUUGCUACAGUAAAUUAUUUCAUUCUCCACAAGCAGAUGGCCAAAGCAAAAGGUCAAACCCCUCUCUCCCAGUUGGCCUUCCGAGAGCAGCUGGUGUUAAAUGGGUGAAUUGAGGGCCCAAAGCAACCUCACAACCAUCACAAAAUGGAAAUGGCAGUUCACUUGUUUCCUGGCGGAGAGGGACUGCUUCAAAGACUAUCAGGGCAUGCACAAGCUAUGGUGAAAGUGAAAUCCAAUCAUCUAUACCUGGAUUGUAAAACGAAUGCCAUUUGUAAAUAGUUCAGCUUAUUUCUAUUUUAGUGAAGGACACGUGUGUAACCAAGUUUGUUUGAUAAGACAUUUGUAUAUAUUUUUGAAUGUAUAUUGGUUGCUUUUAUAAACAGUUCAUUUGUAUGUGGGACCAAUAUAUUGGAUAUGCCUAGGCGAAAAGUUCAGGCACUUUGGAGAGGUUAAAAAAACACUUGGAUAUCCCCUGUAUGUUCCCCGAUACCUCCACAAUGUUAGAGGUUGGUGUUGUAGAAACUUUUACUUUUAGGCACAUCCAGUGUGCAAAAACAGUGCAAUUACCACAUUUGGAAACUUUGGAAAGGUUGAAAUGACACUUGAAUGUACCCUGGAUACCCCCUAACACCACCACAAUGUUUGAGUGAGGUUGAUAUGGUAGAAAUUGUGUUUUUAUACUGAACAAAUAGCAUUUAGGGAUUGGAAAUAUGUAAUAGAACUGGAAUUAUCUCAUUUGCAGACAUGUCACUUUGGAGAGGUUUAGGGACACUUGGAAACAUCCCAUGACCACACCUGACACCACUUACUAAAAAAUCUGCCCAUUUCUAGCUGUUAGGUCUAUCAAUCCCAUUGUUCACAUGUUGUGGAAGCCAUCUGAUGCAUUUCCAGCUCUGGGCAUCAAUAAUUCACUUAUAGCUUGUCAAUUAAAGAUUACUUUCAAAAUAAAAAAACGUAUUUUGUGUGUGCUUGA